rnacentral:lncRNA from 1 species
GUAUCCUCCUCCACCCGGCCAAUAUCCUCCGCAGGGCUAUCCUCCACAACAAGGCUACCCGCCAGCUGGGUACCCGCCACCGGGGGGUUAUCCCCCACCCGGUGGAUACCCGCCAUCCGGUUACCCACAUGGUGCUCAUCCUGGCCCCUCAGCUCCACAUCAUUCAGGUAUAUAAUUGUUUACUGGAUUUCCAUUAUAGUACUUGUCUUGUGUCUAAAUUGUGAGUCCUUAUAUAACUUGCGGCAUAGAUUGUUGGGUUCGUAGAAUUUAUUCUGAUUUUGACAUGCCAUUGGUCAUUGACUAUGGAUCCCCAUCUUUUCAAUAUGUGCCGUGUUAUCCUUUUUGUACGCAUGAGAAGCAUGGUUGUCAUUCAAGUAUUCUUGUAGUUUUCUUGAAGAUGAUGAACUUGCUUUCUUGUAAAUUAGGACACGGUGGUGGUGUUGCCGGAAUGAUAGCCGGAGGUGCAGCUGCAGCUGCAGCAGCUCUUGGUGCUCACCACGUGUCACAUGGUGCCCACAACAUGGGGUAUGGUGCCCCCCACAUGGGGUAUGGUGGUAUGCAUCAUGGAGGCAAGUUCAAGCAUGGCAAGCAUGGGAAAUUCAAGC